rnacentral:rRNA from 1 species
GUGCCAGCAGCCGCGGUAAUACCGGCAGCCCGAGUGAUGGCCGAUAUUAUUGGGCCUAAAGCGUCCGUAGCUGGCCGAACAAGUCCGUCGGGAAAUCCACGUGCUCAACACGUGGGCGUCCGGCGGAAACCACUCGGCUUGGGGCCGGAGGACUCGAGGGGUACGUCUGGGGUAGGAGUGAAAUCCCGUAAUCCUGGACGGACCGCCGAUGGCGAAAGCACCUCGAGAGGACGGACCCGACAGUGAGGGACGAAAGCCAGGGUCUCGAACCGGAUUAGAUACCCCGGUAGUCC